rnacentral:lncRNA from 1 species
UUAUCUCCUCCAGCAAGAUGUUUCUUCUUCAUUCUUGAAGCUUCCAACGCCAUUCUCUCAUUUUCCCAUGGAAACUUAAUUUUUUUUCAUUUUCUUUCCUUGUUUUCUUUCCAUUUCCUUUCUCUUCUUGCUUCUUUCCUCUCCCAACUCCUUGUGCACCAAGUUACAACUUCUAACCCCAAUUUUCAGCACACCUAAACCCUAGGAGGAGAAGAAAGAAAAAGAGAGAAAGGAAGAAAAAAGCUUGGUUUUGGUGAUUUAAGUAAGGAACGGUAAGAAUUCUUGUUUUUGGCUUGAGUAGUUUUUGAAAAUGAGUUAGUGACUUAGAGAAAUGUCUUGUGGCAGCAAAGAUUGGCUUGAUUGGAGAAAAAUUGGUAACAUGUAAGCCAAUAAACCCAUGGGUACAUGAAGGACUCAAAGUGGAAAAGGAAA